CCUACGGGAGACAGCAGUGAGGAAUAUUGGUCAAUGGACGAGAGUCUGAACCAGCCAAGUAGCGUGAAGGAUGACUGCCCUAUGGGUUGUAAACUUCUUUUAUAUGGGAAUAAAACGUUCCACGUGUGGGAUUUUGUAUGUACCAUAUGAAUAAGGAUCGGCUAACUCCGUGCCAGCAGCCGCGGUAAUACGGAGGAUCCGAGCGUUAUCCGGAUUUAUUGGGUUUAAAGGGUGCGUAGGUGGAGUGUUAAGUCAGUUGUGAAAGUUUGCGGCUCAACCGUAAAAUUGCAGUUGAAACUGGCAGUCUUGAGUACAGGAGAGGUGGGCGGAAUUCGUGGUGUAGCGGUGAAAUGCUUAGAUAUCACGAAGAACUCCGAUUGCGAAGGCAGUUCACUGGACUGCAACUGACACUGAGGCUCGAAAGUGUGGGUAUCAAACAGGAUUAGAUACCCGGGUAGUC
rnacentral:rRNA from 1 species